AGCGUGAAAUCGAGUAGGGCGGGACACGUGAUAUCCUGUCUGAAUAUGGGGGGACCAUCCUCCAAGGCUAAAUACUCCUGACUGACCGAUAGUGAACCAGUACCGUGAGGGAAAGGCGAAAAGAACCCCUGUGAGGGGAGUGAAAUAGAACCUGAAACCGUGUACGUACAAGCAGUAGGAGCACCUUCGUGGUGUGACUGCGUACCUUUUGUAUAAUGGGUCAGCGACUUAUAUUCAGUGGCAAGGUUAACCGUAUAGGGGAGCCGUAGCGAAAGCGAGUCUUAACUGGGCGCUCAGUCUCUGGAUAUAGACCCGAAACCGGGUGAUCUAGCCAUGGGCAGGUUGAAGGUUGAGUAACAUCAACUGGAGGACCGAACCGACUAAUGUUGAAAAAUUAGCGGAUGACUUGUGGCUAGGGGUGAAAGGCCAAUCAAACUCGGAGAUAGCUGGUUCUCCCCGAAAGCUAUUUAGGUAGCGCCUCGGACGAAUACUACUGGGGGUAGAGCACUGUUAAGGCUAGGGGGUCAUCCCGACUUACCAACCCUUUGCAAACUCCGAAUACCAGUAAGUACUAUCCGGGAGACACACGGCGGGUGCUAACGUCCGUCGUGGAGAGGGAAACAACCCAGACCGCCAGCUAAGGUCCCAAAGUAUUGCUAAGUGGGAAACGAUGUGGGAAGGCUCAGACAGCUAGGAUGUUGGCUUAGAAGCAGCCAUCAUUUAAAGAAAGCGUAAUAGCUCACUAGUCGAGUCGGCCUGCGCGGAAGAUGUAACGGGGCUAAGCA
rnacentral:rRNA from 1 species